rnacentral:rRNA from 1 species
GUGCAGCAGGCGCGAAACCUUCGCAAUGCGGGAAACCGCGACGAGGGGACUCCCAGUGCCUACGCUCAGCGUAGGCUGUUCCCGAGCCUAGAAAGCUCGGGGAGUAAGGGCUGGGUAAGACGGGUGCCAGCCGCCGCGGUAAUACCCGCAGCCCGAGUGGUGGCCACUAUUAUUGGGCCUAAAGCGUCCGUAGCCGGCCCGGUAAAUGCCUGGGUAAAUCGUGAGGCCUAACCUCACGAAUUCCGGGUAGACUGCCGGGCUAGGGACCGGAGGAGGGAGAGGGGUACUCCGAGGGGUAGGGGUGAAAUCCUGUAAUCCCUGGAGGACCACCGGUGGCGAAGGCGCUCUCCUAGGACGGGUCCGACGGUGAGGGACGAAAGCCAGGGGAGCGAACCGGAUUAGAUACCCCGUAGU